UGGUCAAGUUAUUAAGGGUGCAGGGCGGAUGCCUUGGCACUAGGAGCCGAUGAAGGACGUGAUAAGCUGCGAUAAGCUUCGGGGAGUUGCACGUAAACUUUGAUCCGAAGAUUUCCGAAUGAGGAAACUCACUUAGAGUAAUGUCUAAGUAUCAUUAAG
rnacentral:rRNA from 1 species